rnacentral:rRNA from 1 species
GCAUAUCUGGUUCGUAAGAACCGGGUAUGACGGAGCGGCGAACGGGUGAGUAACACGUGAGCAACCUGCCCCGAAGACCGGGAUAGCCCAGGGAAACCUGGAUUAAUACCGGAUAUCCUCUAACACUCACAUGAGUGACUGAGGAAAGGCUUUAGCGCUUCGGGAUGGGCUCGCGGCCUAUCAGCUUGUUGGUGGGGUAACGGCCUACCAAGGCAUCGACGGGUAGCUGGUCUGAGAGGACGAUCAGCCACACUGGGACUGAGACACGGCCCAGACUCCUACGGGAGGCAGCAGCAGGGAAUCUUGCGCAAUGGGCGAAAGCCUGACGCAGCAACGCCGCGUGGGGGAUGACGGCCUUCGGGUUGUAAACCCCUUUCAGGAGGGAAGAAAUUGACGGUACCUCCAGAAGAAGCCCCGGCCAACUACGUGCCAGCAGCCGCGGUAAUACGUAGGGGGCAAGCGUUGUCCGGAAUUAUUGGGCGUAAAGAGCUCGUAGGCGGCUCAGCAAGUCGGCUGUGAAAUCCCGAGGCUCAACCUCGGAACUGCAGUCGAUACUGCUGUGGCUAGAGUCUGGUAGAGGAGAAUGGAAUUCCCGGUGUAGCGGUGAAAUGCGCAGAUAUCGGGAGGAACACCAGUAGCGAAGGCGGUUCUCUGGGCCAGUACUGACGCUGAGGAGCGAAAGCGUGGGGAGCAAACAGG